rnacentral:piRNA from 1 species
AGAAUGUGGACAAAGCUGCUGGACA